rnacentral:lncRNA from 1 species
AUGAGGAUGGCAAAAUUGGAAGGGGAAGAAAGAAGGCAGAAGAUGGAAGACCCUGAAACUUCUCCUGCAUCCACCCACCGACACAACGAGAACAGUGUUGGAGCGCCCACCACUGCACCAGGCCUGCGAGGGACACAAAGAAGGGAAAUCCUCAGUACUUGCACUCAGACAGCUCAGCUGGGAACACAGACAUACACACAGAGAAGUGUAGCUAACACCUACUUUGAAAAGAUAAUCCAAGCCCAGGGAGGAAGGCCAGGGUGGGUGGAGGUGGUGCAGAUGUCACCGAGGGGAUGGAGUGUGGCACAUGGAAGAAAGGGCAGAUGUGAAUAAGUGGAGAAGAGGACAUUACAUUCCAGAGAGAAUGAUGUGAGCAAAGGCCUAGAGGUAGGAGCACACACUGAAUGCUUGAGAACAAUCAACUAGAUUGUUCAAAAGGUGUGUGGUGUGGGGGAAGAGAAGAGCUUGAUUUCGGCUGACAAGGGAGGCCAUGACCAAGGAUCCAUAUGCCAGACUAAUGAGUUUGAUGAAAUUCUGGUCAUUGGGAAUCCCUGAGGCUUUUCAGUGAGACUGUACCUUAAAAGUGCUAUUGUACUGAGAUCAACCUGGUCGCAUAUUCAAGAAGGACUGGUGAAAGGAGUCAGGAAUGGGGAUCAGGAGGAGCUAUGAUAAUCCAGGAACUGGAUAAUAAGAACUGUGCUGGACCGAAUGGUGCCCUUCCCCCCCACCCACACACACAUUCAGAUGUUGCAGCCCUAACGCCCAAUGUGACUGCUUUUGGUGACAGGGCCUUUAAGGAGGUACUUAAGGUUAAAUGAGGUCAUAAGUGCAAGGCCCUAAUCUAAUAGGACUGGUGUCCUUAUAAGAAGUGGAAGAGACCCCAGAGCUCUCUCUCCCUCUCCAGGUGCACACACAGAGAAAAGGCCACAAGAAGGGCACACAGCAAGAAGGUGCCCCCUGUCAGCUUCCAGGUCCUCCACACCAACAAGCGCGCAGCCUCCCUCUCCCAGUGGCUAAGAAAACAGUCUAUUUGCCAAGGCUUCCUUGGGCUUCCCUACAGUCGGGUCUAUGCAGGGAUAUGAGUUUCUCGCUUCAUGUCCAGAUUGCUAUAUUCAGUCUUUUGAUACUCCUGUUUCGAGAACAGCUUUUGAGCCCUGGGAUUUUCCUUCUUAGCUAGAGGUGCCUCAAGGCUGCAGCUCAGCCCAAGGGCCCUGCGUUAGCACCUUCUGUGGUUCUGAUGUUUUAAUCCUCUCCCUUUGCAUUCUGGGACUGUGAAAGGAGGUGUUCUCAAAGGCUUCUGGCAGAAAGUCUCUUCUUUCUCAAAAUUUGACAUUUGCUCAGCCACAUGGCACUUCCCGUGUUACACCAUUAAACAUCUCCAAGGCAACGGUAGCUGGGGGCAUGACUGAUUACUUCUUCAUACCUCAUGUGAUGUGGCUUAUAAUAAAUUAAGUCAGAUAGAGGAGACUUUCCA